UAACGGAGGCGUCCACUUAACUUGGAGUCCGAACUCUCACUUUCUAACCCUGUGCAUCUGUUUUAAAAUUGGCCAGUAGCUCUUCGGAGCGAACCCCAUUUUUCACUUAUACAAACACAAAGUCUAUGAAUGUAAACAAAUUUAUAACAAAACAAAACUUUCAACAACGGAUCUCUUGGCUCUCGCAUCGAUGAAGAACGCAGCGAAAUGCGAUACGUAAUGUGAAUUGCAAAUUCAGUGAAUCAUCGAAUCUUUGAACGCCCUUGCGCUCCUUGGUAUUCCGAGGAGCAUGCCUGUUUGAGUGUCAUGAAAUCUUCAACCCACCUCUUUCUUAGUGAAUCUGGUGGUGCUUGGUUUCUGAGCGCUGCUCUGCUUCGGCUUAGCUCGUUCGUAAUGCAUUACAUCCGCAACCGAAACUUCGGAUUGACUUGGCGUAAUAGACUAUUCGCUGAGGAUUCCAGACUUGUUCUGGAGCCGAGUUGGGUUAAAGGAAGCUUCUAAUCCUAAAGUCUAUUUUUUGAUUAGAUCUCAAAUCAGGUAGGACUACCCGCUGAACUUAAGCAUAUCAAUAAGCCGGAGGAA
rnacentral:rRNA from 1 species